GAGAAUGGAAACCACCUGAGAUUAAGCCCAAGAGUUUUCAGAAGGGGGUCAAGAUCGUGACCGGUUUGGCUUCUGUUAUUGAAGACGAGCCAUGAAAUUUUGGUCUUUUGCUUUUCUUCUUCACAUCUUCUCUUCUUCUUCUUCUUCUUCUUCUUCUCCUCUUCUAAAUUUUGGAGAUCGGAUAUCAUAUGUGAUAUAAACCAAUCAAAAUCCCCUUCUGCUUUUUGU
rnacentral:misc_RNA from 1 species